rnacentral:rRNA from 1 species
GUCAAGUCCUCAUGGCCUUUAUGCCCAGGGCUGCACACGUGCUACAAUGGCGCGCACAGAACGACGCAAGACCGUAAGGUGGAGCAAAUCGCUAAAAACGCGCCCCAGUUCGGAUUGUGGGCUGCAACUCGCCCACAUGAAGUCGGAAUCGCUAGUAAUCGCGGAUCAGCUACGCCGCGGUGAAUACGUUCCUGAGCCUU